rnacentral:ncRNA from 1 species
CCACAUCUGGUGAUGAGCUUUGCGCUCUGAGCUGGGGGUGGCCGCAGAGACCAGCGAGAAGCGACUGUUUACUAAAAACACAGGUCCGUGCGAAGCCGUAAGGCGAUGUAUACGGACUGACGCCUGCCCGGUGCUGGAACGUUAAGGGGACCGGUUAGCUCCAUUUCGGUGGGGCGAAGCUGAGAACUUAAGCGCCAGUAAACGGCGGUGGUAACUAUAACCAUCCUAAGGUAGCGAAAUUCCUUGUCGGGUAAGUUCCGACCUGCACGAAUGGCGUAACGACUUCUCGACUGUCUCAACCAUAGGCCCGGUGAAAUUGCACUACGAGUAAAGAUGCUCGUUUCGCGCAGCAGGACGGAAAGACCCCGGGACCUUUACUACAGUUUGAUAUUGGUGUUCGGUUCGGCUUGUGUAGGAUAGCUGGGAGACUGUGAAGCGCUAACGCCAGUUAGUGUGGAGUCGUCGUUGAAAUACCAGUCUGGUCGUGCUGGAUGUCUAACCUGGGUCCGUGAUCCGGAUCAGGGACAGUGUCUGAUGGGUAGUUUAACUGGGGCGGUUGCCUCCUAAAGAGUAACGGAGGCGCCCAAAGGUUCCCUCAGCCUGGUUGGCAAUCAGGUGUUGAGUGUAAGUGCACAAGGGAGCUUGACUGUGAGACCGACGGGUCGAGCAGGGACGAAAGUCGGGACUAGUGAUCCGGCGGUGGCUUGUGGAAGCGCCGUCGCUCAACGGAUAAAAGGUACCCCGGGGAUAACAGGCUGAUCUUCCCCAAGAGUCCAUAUCGACGGGAUGGUUUGGCACCUCGAUGUCGGCUCGUCGCAUCCGUGGGGCUGGAGUCGGUCCCAAGGGUUGGCUGUUCGCCCAUUAAAGCGGUACGCGAGCUGGGUUUAGAACGUCGUGAGACAGUUCGGUCCCUAUCCGCUGUGCGCGUAGGAGUCUUGAGAAGGGCUGUCCCUAGUACGAGAGGACCGGGACGGACGAACCUCUGGUGUGCCAGUUGUUCUGCCAAGGGCAUGGCUGGUUGGCUACGUUCGGGAGGGAUAACCGCUGAAAGCAUCUAAGCGGGAAGCCUGCUUCGAGAUGAGGACUCCCACCUCCUAGAGAGGGUAAGGCUCCCAGUAGACGACUGGGUUGAUAGGCCGGAUAUGGAAGCACGGUAACGUGUGGAGUUGACCGGUACUAAUAGGCCGAGGGCUUGUCCUC